AAAAAUCUUCAGGGCAGGGUGUGAGUCCCUACCGGUGGUAUAGUCCACGAGCGUUAGCAUGAAUCGGUGAAAUUCCGAUACCGACAGUAAAGUCUGGAUGAAAGAAGAUAUAA
rnacentral:ncRNA from 2 species